rnacentral:rRNA from 1 species
UGAGUAACACGUGGGCAACCUACCCAGAAGACCGGGAUAACGGCUCGAAAGGGCCGCUAAUACCGGAUAAUGUCGGGGUACCGCAUGGUACUCCGAAUAAAGGGGAAACCCGCUUUUGGAUGGGCCCGCGUCCCAUCAGCUAGUUGGUGAGGUAACGGCUCACCAAGGCGACGACGGGUAGCCGGUCUGAGAGGAUGGUCGGCCACACUGGGACUGAGACACGGCCCAGACUCCUACGGGAGGCAGCAGUUGGGAAUCUUGGGCAAUGGGCGAAAGCCUGACCCAGCGACGCCGCGUGAGGGAAGAAGGCCUUCGGGUCGUAAACCUCUGUCAUGGGGGAAGAAGCAAGUGACGGUACCCCAAGAGGAAGCCCCUGCUAACUACGUGCCAGCAGCCGCGGUAAUACGUAGGGGGCGAGCGUUGUCCGGAUUUACUGGGCGUAAAGGGCGAGUAGGCGGUCUGUUAAGUCAGGUGUGAA